rfam:Hordeum vulgare subsp. vulgare, WGS project CAJW01000000 data, contig: morex_contig_1571561
AAACUACUUCCUCCGUCUCAAAAUUCUUGUCUUAAGUUUAAUUAGAAAUGGAUGUACCUAAAUACUAAAACUCAACUAGAUACAUUUAUAUAUAGACAAACGUAAGACAAGAAUUUUGGAAAGGAGGGAGUAUACA